rnacentral:rRNA from 1 species
AUACGGAGGGUGCAAGCGUUAAUCGGAAUUACUGGGCGUAAAGCGCGCGUAGGCGGCUAAGUAAGUCGGAUGUGAAAGCCCUGGGCUUAACCUGGGAAUUGCAUUCGAUACUGCUUGGCUCGAGUAUGGUAGAGGGUAGUGGAAUUCCUGGUGUAGCGGUGAAAUGCGUAGAUAUCAGGAGGAACAUCAGUGGCGAAGGCGGCUACCUGGACCAAUACUGACGCUAAGGUGCGAAAGCGUGGGGAGCAAACAGGAUUAGAAACCCGGGUAGUCC